CCUACGGGUGGCAGCAGUGAGGAAUAUUGGUCAAUGGGCUUACGCCUGAACCAGCCAAGUCGCGUGAGGGAAGACUGCCCUAUGGGUUGUAAACCUCUUUUGUCAGGGAGCAACGCCGGCUACGUGUAGCCGGACUGAGAGUACCUGAAGAAAAAGCACCGGCUAACUCCGUACCAGCAGCCGCGGUAAUACGGAGGGUGCGAGCGUUAAUCGGAAUUACUGGGCGUAAAGCGCUCGUAGGCGGUAUGUCAAGUCAAGGGUGAAAUCCCCGCGCUCAACGUGGGAACUGCCUUUGAAACUGGCAAACUGGAGUGUGUGAGAGGAUAGUGGAAUUCCAGGUGUAGGAGUGAAAUCCGUAGAUAUCUGGAGGAACAUCAGUGGCGAAGGCGGUCUGCUGGACAGCAACUGACGCUGAGGCGCGAAAGCGUGGGGAGCAAACAGGAUUAGAUACCCCUGUAGUC
rnacentral:rRNA from 1 species